rnacentral:rRNA from 1 species
CCUACGGGUGGCUGCAGUGGGGAAUAUUGGACAAUGGGCGAAAGCCUGAUCCAGCCAUGCCGCGUGUGUGAAGAAGGCCUUCGGGUUGUAAAGCACUUUCAGUGGGGAAGAAAGCCUUGGGGCUAAUACCCUCGAGGAAGGACAUCACCCACAGAAGAAGCACCGGCUAACUCCGUGCCAGCAGCCGCGGUAAUACGGAGGGUGCGAGCGUUAAUCGGAAUUACUGGGCGUAAAGCGCGCGUAGGCGGUCUGAUAAGCCGGUUGUGAAAGCCCCGGGCUCAACCUGGGAAUGGCAUCCGGAACUGUCAGGCUAGAGUGCAGGAGAGGAAGGUAGAAUUCCCGGUGUAGCGGUGAAAUGCGUAGAGAUCGGGAGGAAUACCAGUGGCGAAGGCGGCCUUCUGGACUGACACUGACGCUGAGGUGCGAAAGCGUGGGUAGCAAACAGGAUUAGAUACCCCGGUAGUC